UGGGGAAUAUUGGACAAUGGGCGGAAGCCUGAUCCAGCCAUGCCGCGUGAGUGAUGAAGGCCUUCGGGUUGUAAAGCUCUUUCACCCACGACGAUGAUGACGGUAGUGGGAGAAGAAGCCCCGGCUAACUUCGUGCCAGCAGCCGCGGUAAUACGAAGGGGGCAAGCGUUGUUCGGAAUGACUGGGCGUAAAGGGCGCGUAGGCGGCACGUUGCGUCAGAUGUGAAAUCCCCGGGCUCAACCUGGGAAUGGCAUUUGAUACGGGCGUGCUGGAAUCCGUGAGAGGUUGGUGGAAUUCCCAGUGUAGAGGUGAAAUUCGUAGAUAUUGGGAAGAACACCAGUGGCGAAGGCGGCCAACUGGCACGGUAUUGACGCUGAGGCGCGAAAGCGUGGGGAGCAAA
rnacentral:rRNA from 1 species